rnacentral:rRNA from 1 species
CCUACGGGCGGCAGCAGUGGGGAAUAUUGGACAAUGGGCGAAAGCCUGAUCCAGCCAUGCCGCGUGUGUGAAGAAGGUCUUCGGAUUGUAAAGCACUUUAAGUUGGGAGGAAGGGCAUUAACCUAAUACGUUAGUGUUUUCACGUUACCGACAGAAUAAUCACCGGCUAUCUCUGUUCCUGCAGCCUCGCUUAUUCUGAGUGUGCAAGCGUUAAUCGGAAUUACUGGGCGUUAAGCGCGCGUAGGUGGUUCGUUAAGUUGGAAGAGAAAACCCCGGGCUCAACCUGGGAACUGCAACCAAAACAGGCGAGCUAGAGUAGGGCAGAGGGUGGUGGAAAGUCCUGUGUAGCGGUGAAAUGCGUAGAUAUAGGAAGGAACACCAGUGGCGAAGGCGACCACCUGGGCUCAUACUGACAGAGAGGAGAGAAAGAGUGGGGAGAAAACAGGAUAAGAUACCCUAGUAGUC